rnacentral:rRNA from 1 species
AUUGAACGCUGGCGGCAGGCCUAACACAUGCAAGUCGAGCGGAUGCAGGGAGCUUGCUCCUGGAUUCAGCGGCGGACGGGCGAGUAAUGCCUAGGAAUCUGCCUGGUAGUGGGGGAUAACGUCCGGAAACGGGCGCUAAUACCGCAUACGUCCUGAGGGAGCAAGUGGGGGAUCUUCGGACCUCACGCUAUCAGAUGAGCCUAGGUCGGAUUAGCUAGUUGGUGGGGUAAAGGCCUACCAAGGCGACGAUCCGUAACUGGUCUGAGAGGAUGAUCAGUCACACUGGAACUGAGACACGGUCCAGACUCCUACGGGAGGCAGCAGUGGGGAAUAUUGGACAAAGGGCGAAAGCCUGAUCCAGCCAUGCCGCGUGUGUGAAGAAGGUCUUCGGAUUGUAAAGCACUUUAAGUUGGGAGGAAGGGCAGUAAGUUAAUACCUUGCUGUUUUGACGUUACCAACAGAAUAAGCACCGGCUAACUUCGUG